rnacentral:rRNA from 1 species
GACGAACGCUGGCGGCGUGCUUAACACAUGCAAGUCGAACGCUGAAGCACCAGCUUGCUGGUGUGGAUGAGUGGCGAACGGGUGAGUAAUACGUGAGUAACCUGCCCUUGAUUCUGGGAUAAGCCCGGGAAACUGGGUCUAAUACUGGAUACUACAUGUCACCGCAUGGUGGUGUGUGGAAAGGGUUUACUGGUCUUGGAUGGGCUCACGGCCUAUCAGCUUGUUGGUGAGGUAAUGGCUCACCAAGGCGACGACGGGUAGCCGGCCUGAGAGGGUGACCGGCCACACUGGGACUGAGAAACGGCCCAGACUCCUACGGGAGGCAGCAGUGGGGAAUAUUGCACAAUGGGCGAAAGCCUGAUGCAGCGGCGCCGCGGGAGGGAUGACGGGCUUCGGGUUGUAAACCUCUUUCAGCAGGGAAGAAGCCACAAGUGACGGUACCUGCAGAAGAAGCGCCGGCUAACUACGUG